UAACCCUGUAAAAUACAAAGUUGAUAACUGAGAACAUAAUCUAAGGUUGAGGGUGACUUAGUUUUUCUUAAAGGUUGUAUAAAACAAAUAAGAGCCUUUAAUAAGUUGCAGCUAAUCACAGUUCCCUGGCCUUUUUAGGGAACUUCUGUUUGUGAGGUUCUUUUCUAUCUCAUUCUAGAAAAGUGCUCAGGACUAAUAUUCACAUGUGACUGGGAUUAAUAGUCACAGCAAUUAAUGAGACCUUAGCAAGUGCUCACUGAAGGCUGAAAAAAAUUAGGUACUGUGCACAGGACUCGAAAAACACAGAAGGACAUCCCUGUUGUUGGGGGCCUACAAUCUAGGUAAGCUGCCUAGAACCUCUCACACUUUUCUUGUUUGAAAAAACUAGCAAUGUGAGCAACCAGGGCCAUCAGAAAGGCACUGGCAUAUUCCUAAUUUCAUAUAAACUGAAUACUGUGGAGCAGUACUUUUCAUACUCCUAUGAACAUGUCUGAGCCUCCAGGGAAGUGAGCAAUAUUGACUUAAGACUGUCUGGUUUUAUUCUAUUAAAAAACAUUUUCAAAUGUAAAUGAUCAGUUAAGUUUUAUCUUUAUAACUGGUUAAAUAUAUUUUAAAAAAUAUAUCAUCAGGGAAUCGCCUGGUGGUGUAGUGGUUAGGACUCCACGUUUUCAUUGCUCAGACCAGGUUCAAUCCCUGGUCUGGGAACUAAGAUCCCACAAGCCCCAUAGCAUGGGCAAAAAAAUAUCAAAAUGAAAAACACCAAAUUCUUUUAGAACUCUUGGGCUCACCUCAUACCCUCUUUACUCCUCCACUUCCCCAACCCCACCCUUCCUCAUAAGCUGAGAGCCCAAAUUUGACACUUAGGCAAUGGACUGAAACAAGGCUUAAAAAAGGAUAGAUUGUUUACCUAAGGCAAUUCCUCCAUGAGGGGGCGCCCCAUAAUCUAAAGCCUGGAGCAGAUGGGAGAGCAAUUUCACAUCUUCCUGAAAUUCAAAAAAUAAUUUAAAUACAUACUGAGGGCCCACUAGGUGCCAGAAUAAUAUAAUUAGUUGCUAAAGGGAAAAUAAAAGUUGAAUUUAAAAAGUACCUUUAGAGGCCUAUAUUUAGCAAGAGAAUAUGACAAAUCAGGGGUACUACAACAUGCAGAGAAAUGCCUGGGGCUCAGUAAAUGCAGCUAUUAUGCUGAUAAUGCAGACAGAGUUAAGACCAAUUAAGGACAUGAGAUGUGGCCUCAGAAAAAGGGUGAAGAGGAGGACCUGGUCCUGUCACAUGGGCUAAGAGGCAAGGUUAUCAGGAAGGCAACAGUGCAGAUGCUGCCAGAAGAUAAGACAGCUUGUGGGCCAACAAGAGGCUGCUGGAUCUGAUGACCACGGGCAAGAUAGCUUUUAUGGGCAAUGCCUGUGGAAAUGUUGCAGCUGUGUCUGAAAUGGUUCCCCAACCAGACUACAGGUCACAAUCAACUCGGGGAGACUUCAAGGAACAAAUGUCCAAAUCUCACAUCUAGAGCUUUUUUAUUUUAAUUGGUCUGCUGAGGAAAAGAUCAGACUCUCUUGGACUUCCUGGAUCAAAGAUUUCCAAGGAUUUCUUGGGCCUCCUGAAAUCCAUCCUAGCCUCCUGAAGAGUCAUCAACAAACCACAGAUUCUUAGGCUUGCAUCUAUACAGACUCUUCUGAAAAUUCUGAUUAACCCACUCUCCAUCAGUAUCAUUAAAAUCUACCCCA